rnacentral:rRNA from 1 species
GGGUUGUGAGGUUAAGCGACUAAGCGUACACGGUGGAUGCCCUGGCAGUCAGAGGCGAUGAAGGACGUGCUAAUCUGCGAUAAGCGUCGGUAAGGUGAUAUGAACCGUUAUAACCGGCGAUUUCCGAAUGGGGAAACCCAGUGUGAUUCGUCACACUAUCAUUAACUGAAUCCAUAGGUUAAUGAGGCGAACCGGGGGAACUGAAACAUCUAAGUACCCCGAGGAAAAGAAAUCAACCGAGAUUCCCCCAGUAGCGGCGAGCGAACGGGGAGGAGCCCAGAGCCUGAAUCAGUGUGUGUGUUAGUGGAAGCGUCUGGAAAGGCGCGCGAUACAGGGUGACAGCCCCGUACACAAAAAUGCACAUAUUGUGAGCUCGAUGAGUAGGGCGGGACACGUGGUAUCCUGUCUGAAUAUGGGGGGACCAUCCUCCAAGGCUAAAUACUCCUGACUGACCGAUAGUGAACCAGUACCGUGAGGGAAAGGCGAAAAGAACCCCGGCGAGGGGAGUGAAAAAGAACCUGAAACCGUGUACGUACAAGCAGUGGGAGCACGCUUAGGCGUGUGACUGCGUACCUUUUGUAUAAUGGGUCAGCGACUUAUAUUCUGUAGCAAGGUUAACCGAAUAGGGGAGCCGAAGGGAAACCGAGUCUUAACUGGGCGUUAAGUUGCAGGGUAUAGACCCGAAACCCGGUGAUCUAGCCAUGGGCAGGUUGAAGGUUGGGUAACACUAACUGGAGGACCGAACCGACUAAUGUUGAAAAAUUAGCGGAUGACUUGUGGCUGGGGGUGAAAGGCCAAUCAAACCGGGAGAUAGCUGGUUCUCCCCGAAAGCUAUUUAGGUAGCGCCUCGUGAAUUCAUCUCCGGGGGUAGAGCACUGUUUCGGCAAGGGGGUCAUCCCGACUUACCAACCCGAUGCAAACUGCGAAUACCGGAGAAUGUUAUCACGGGAGACACACGGCGGGUGCUAACGUCCGUCGUGAAGAGGGAAACAACCCAGACCGCCAGCUAAGGUCCCAAAGUCAUGGUUAAGUGGGAAACGAUGUGGGAAGGCCCAGACAGCCAGGAUGUUGGCUUAGAAGCAGCCAUCAUUUAAAGAAAGCGUAAUAGCUCACUGGUCGAGUCGGCCUGCGCGGAAGAUGUAACGGGGCUAAACCAUGCACCGAAGCUGCGGCAGCGACGCUUAUGCGUUGUUGGGUAGGGGAGCGUUCUGUAAGCCUGUGAAGGUGUGCUGUGAGGCAUGCUGGAGGUAUCAGAAGUGCGAAUGCUGACAUAAGUAACGAUAAAGCGGGUGAAAAGCCCGCUCGCCGGAAGACCAAGGGUUCCUGUCCAACGUUAAUCGGGGCAGGGUGAGUCGACCCCUAAGGCGAGGCCGAAAGGCGUAGUCGAUGGGAAACAGGUUAAUAUUCCUGUACUUGGUGUUACUGCGAAGGGGGGACGGAGAAGGCUAUGUUGGCCGGGCGACGGUUGUCCCGGUUUAAGCGUGUAGGCUGGUUUUCCAGGCAAAUCCGGAAAAUCAAGGCUGAGGCGUGAUGACGAGGCACUACGGUGCUGAAGCAACAAAUGCCCUGCUUCCAGGAAAAGCCUCUAAGCAUCAGGUAACAUCAAAUCGUACCCCAAACCGACACAGGUGGUCAGGUAGAGAAUACCAAGGCGCUUGAGAGAACUCGGGUGAAGGAACUAGGCAAAAUGGUGCCGUAACUUCGGGAGAAGGCACGCUGAUAUGUAGGUGAAGUCCCUUGCGGAUGGAGCUGAAAUCAGUCGAAGAUACCAGCUGGCUGCAACUGUUUAUUAAAAACACAGCACUGUGCAAACACGAAAGUGGACGUAUACGGUGUGACGCCUGCCCGGUGCCGGAAGGUUAAUUGAUGGGGUCAGCGCAAGCGAAGCUCUUGAUCGAAGCCCCGGUAAACGGCGGCCGUAACUAUAACGGUCCUAAGGUAGCGAAAUUCCUUGUCGGGUAAGUUCCGACCUGCACGAAUGGCGUAAUGAUGGCCAGGCUGUCUCCACCCGAGACUCAGUGAAAUUGAACUCGCUGUGAAGAUGCAGUGUACCCGCGGCAAGACGGAAAGACCCCGUGAACCUUUACUAUAGCUUGACACUGAACAUUGAGCCUUGAUGUGUAGGAUAGGUGGGAGGCUUGGAAGUGUGGACGCCAGUCUGCAUGGAGCCGACCUUGAAAUACCACCCUUUAAUGUUUGAUGUUCUAACGUUGACCCGUAAUCCGGGUUGCGGACAGUGUCUGGUGGGUAGUUUGACUGGGGCGGUCUCCUCCUAAAGAGUAACGGAGGAGCACGAAGGUUGGCUAAUCCUGGUCGGACAUCAGGAGGUUAGUGCAAUGGCAUAAGCCAGCUUGACUGCGAGCGUGACGGCGCGAGCAGGUGCGAAAGCAGGUCAUAGUGAUCCGGUGGUUCUGAAUGGAAGGGCCAUCGCUCAACGGAUAAAAGGUACUCCGGGGAUAACAGGCUGAUACCGCCCAAGAGUUCAUAUCGACGGCGGUGUUUGGCACCUCGAUGUCGGCUCAUCACAUCCUGGGGCUGAAGUAGGUCCCAAGGGUAUGGCUGUUCGCCAUUUAAAGUGGUACGCGAGCUGGGUUUAGAACGUCGUGAGACAGUUCGGUCCCUAUCUGCCGUGGGCGCUGGAGAACUGAGGGGGGCUGCUCCUAGUACGAGAGGACCGGAGUGGACGCAUCACUGGUGUUCGGGUUGUCAUGCCAAUGGCACUGCCCGGUAGCUAAAUGCGGAAGAGAUAAGUGCUGAAAGCAUCUAAGCACGAAACUUGCCCCGAGAUGAGUUCUCCCUGACUCCUUGAGAGUCCUGAAGGAACGUUGAAGACGACGACGUUGAUAGGCCGGGUGUGUAAGCGCAGCGAUGCGUUGAGCUAACCGGUACUAAUGAACCGUGAGGCUUAACCUUACAACGCCGAAGCUGUU